GAGCACGCCGCGUGAGGGAUGAAGGCCUCUGGGCUGUAAACCUCUUUUCUCAAGGAAGAAGACCUGACGGUACUUGAGGAAUAAGCCACGGCUAAUUCCGUGCCAGCAGCCGCGGUAAUACGGGAGUGGCAAGCGUUAUCCGGAAUUAUUGGGCGUAAAGCGUCCGCAGGCGGCCUUGUAAGUCUGUCGUCAAAGCGUGGAGCUUAACUCCAUUUCGGCGAUGGAAACUACAAGGCUGGAGUGUGGUAGGGGCAGAGGGAAUUCCCGGUGUAGCGGUGAAAUGCGUAGAUAUCGGGAAGAACACCAGUGGCGAAGGCGCUCUGCUGGGCCAUAACUGACGCUCAUGGACGAAAGCCAGGGGAGCGAAAGGGAUUAGAUACCCCUGUAGUCCUGGCCGUAAACGAUGAACACUAGGUGUCGGGGGAAUCGACCCCCUCGGUGUCGUAGCCAACGCGUUAAGUGUUCCGCCUGGGGAGUACGCACGCAAGUGUGAAACUCAAAGGAAUUGACGGGGGCCCGCACAAGCGGUGGAGUAUGUGGUUUAAUUCGAUGCAACGCGAAGAACCUUACCAGGGUUUGACAUCCUGCGAACCCCUUGGAAACGAGGGGGUGCCUUCGGGAGCGCAGAGACAGGUGGUGCAUGGCUGUCGUCAGCUCGUGUCGUGAGAUGUUGGGUUAAGUCCCGCAACGAGCGCAACCCACGUCUUUAGUUGCCAGCAUUCAGUUGGGCACUCUAGAGAGACCGCCGGUGAUAAACCGGAGGAAGGUGUGGAUGACGUCAAGUCAUCAUGCCCCUUACAUCCUGGGCUACACACGUACUACAAUGCUACGGACAAAGGGCAGCAAGCUCGCGAGAGUUAGCAAAUCCCAUAAACCGUGGCUCAGUUCAGAUCGUAGGCUGCAACUCGCCUACGUGAAGGAGGAAUCGCUAGUAAUCGCAGGUCAGCAUACUGCGGUGAAUACGUUCCCGGGCCUUGUACACACCGCCCGUCACACCAUGGAAGUUGGCCACGCCCGAAGUCGUUACUCCAACCCUUGUGGAGGAGGACGCCGAAGGUGGGGCUGAUGACUGGGGUGAAGUCGCAACAAGGUAGCCGUACCGGAAGGUG
rnacentral:rRNA from 1 species